UCCCUGGUGGUCCAGUGGUUAGAACUCUGAACUUUCACUGCCAAGGGCCUGGGUUUGAUCCCUGGUCAGGGAA
rnacentral:tRNA from 1 species